rnacentral:tRNA from 1 species
GGAUGAAUGGCUGAGUGGUUUAAAGCAUCAAUUUUGAAAAUUGACAUAAUAAAAUUUAUCGUGGGUUCGAAUCCUGCUUCAUCCA